rnacentral:rRNA from 1 species
UACGUAGGGUGCGAGCGUUAAUCGGAAUUACUGGGUGUAAAGCGUGCGCAGGCGGUUUUGUAAGCCAGAUGUGAAAUCCCCGGGCUUAACCUGGGAACUGCAUUUGUGACUGCAUCGCUGGAGUGCGGCAGAGGGGGAUGGAAUUCCGCGUGUAGCAGUGAAAUGCGUAGAUAUGCGGAGGAACACCGAUGGCGAAGGCAAUCCCCUGGGCCUGCACUGACGCUCAUGCACGAAAGCGUGGGGAGCAAACAGG